GAGAGCUGACUGUGGCCAUGCUCAGCACUUCUAAGGAUCAGGCCUGCACAAGUCACCUCAAAUUAAAAUUCCUUGUCUGAAAGCAGCUCUGGAAAGUCAAUGGCAAACGAAUCUGUUAUGAAGAAUAUAAACACCUGGCAACAAACGUAGACAAGAGAGGGUAGCAGUGAAAUGCAAAGCGCCAUUCAGAGGAUCCUGCAACAGGCUUCACUCUUGGUUUCUGCUUGCUUUCUCUCUCUGAAGAGCAGAUGAAAAUGUAUCUAGUGAAAUGAGGUUCCUAGAAAGAAGCUCAAGUUCCAGAUGGCUGAUACCAUGCAAGCACCAGCUGUGAGGAGGUAAAAAAGUCUGCUUUUAAAAAGAAAUAGGCAAUGCCAACCUACUAUUGCUGCACUUAGGGGUUGUAUCUCUGCUGCACUCAACUGGCCUUAAGGGCCAUACAUGUCCAGGGUCUGCACAUAGCCCCUGGUAUGAGUAUUCUCCUCCUGCUUGCCACUAGAGCAUCUAGCGCACACCAAAAGAAAUGUUAUUUUUUUUAUACGUUGAGACCUUUGUCAAGCAAUACCAAGGAGCAGCCAGUAGUCACCUGGGCACUGGAAACAUUUUCCAUGACACCAAGAGCUCACAACUCUACGAGAGAAUGCAUGGCGGUUUCUAGAAGGACUUCGUUUUUCUUCAAAGGAUGAUUGUUUUGCUGUGCCCACACCACCGCCAUGGAGCUGCACCGAUGAAAUAGGGGCUUUGUGAGCAGUUCCUUGUCCUGCGUGAGGAGGAGCCUUCCCUGCAGCCAUGUGAAAGCUUAUCCUCACUUGGAUGGCGAUCAGCGUGCCUCGGUGGAUGGAGCGCUGGCCGCCUGUGUGUCAUUAAGGAGCUCGAAGAGUCAAUUCAGUCCAGACAGUAAACAAUGAAUUGCUGACACUUUCGGCUCUGCUGGGGCUAAAGAAUACCAGCGCACACAUCUGAGCCCUAUCAGUGGAAACACACAAGGAUUAGAUUCUUUUGGUGACGGCUGCAGUUUUAUUGUGAAUAAUCUGAUGGGAGCCUGAUGGUGUCCAACACAUCCAUUCUUGCCUUGUGAUUCUUUUGCCAUCUGAAAUGUUGUUAGUUUUAAUGACAUAAUUAUCCUUUAUAUUUUCAGUUAGAUGUGUGGGUUGUGUUUUUUUUUUUUUUUUUUCU
rnacentral:lncRNA from 1 species